GGACGGAUGGGCGGACUUCUAGACUGUCUGUUAGUGGCGGACGGGUGCGUAACACGUGGAUGACCUACCCUCUGUGUGGGGGAUAGCUCGCGGAAACGCGGGGUAAGACCGCAUACGCUCACUGGGGGCGACCCGAGUGAGGAAAACCUGUAAAGGUGCCAGAGGAGGGGUCCGCGGCCGAUUAGCUAGUUGGUGGGGUAAGAGCCUACCAAGGCGACGAUCGGUAGCUGGUCUGAGAGGAUGAUCAGCCACACUGGGAUUGAGAACGGCCCAUACUCCUACGGGGGGCAGCAGUGAGGAAUAUUCGGCAAUGGGGGCAACCCUGACCGAGCAACGCCGCGUGGAGGACGACGCCCUUCGGGGUGUAAACUCCUUUUCUGGGGAACGAGGUAUACGGACGGUACCCCAGGAAGAAGCCUCGGCUAACUACGUGCCAGCAGCCGCGGUAAU
rnacentral:rRNA from 1 species